rnacentral:rRNA from 1 species
UACAGAGGUCCCAAGCGUUGUUCGGAUUCACUGGGCGUAAAGGGUGCGCAGGUGGGUUGGCAAGUUCGAUGUGAAAGCCCCGGGCUUAACCCGGGAAUGGCAUUGGAUACUGUUGAUCUGGAGGGUCGGAGGGGGGACUGGAAUUCUUGGUGUAGCAGUGAAAUGCGUAGAUAUCAAGAGGAGCACCAGUGGCGAAGGCGAGUCCCUGGACGAUACCUGACACUGAGGCACGAAAGCCAAGGGAGCAAACAGG